rnacentral:lncRNA from 1 species
CCUAGAUCCCAGCUGCAGACCCCGCAAUCGCCCAGCCCUGCUGGGCUUCUGUGUCCGCCCUUCGCGUGACUGGCUUGACCUGGCCACAGCCCCUAAGCAGCGCUGCGGGGUCCGCGGGUCUCCCCUCUCCGUCCUCGCGUGCGUGAUCUUUGACGCCCUCGGGCCCAGCUCCUCAACCUUGCCCUCCUGCAGAUACAGGCUCGGAGUCCCGAGGCUGCCUAGACGCCGCGCGAGAAGAGCAAACGACAGACCACUGCUUUUAAUUGUUAAAGAGUCUACCAGACCAGAAUUUCAACUCCUUUGUUGGGGAUUCCACCACACUGGCUCCAGAAUUCCAGACCUUUCUAUCCAGGCCACCAAUUAAGCUACAACCUCAGUGCUUUCUUCAGUUUCUUUGCCCUGUGCAGUCUCCUAUGUGCAGCAGGAACUGACUUCAUCGUUCCUGAGAGCUGAAAUGGGCCGAGACUACCACCUGGCAAAAAAAUUAUGUCAGAUGAUCCUCAUCUAUGAACCAGAAAAUCCUGAGGCCAAGGAGUUUUCCUCACUUAUUGAAGAAUUGCUGCUGAAGGAGGAAGCUCAGAACCUGGAGGAAAACGAAGAGGAUAGUGAAGAAGACAGCAGCACCGAGAGCGAGGACAGCAGUGAGGACCUGAGCGGGGAGAGCUCUGACGAGCGCAAGGACGGGCCGUGACCGUCGCUGCUGCGGUUUAAGCGUCGUGCAUUUUCAUUAUUGUAUACCAUACAAAUAUAAAGAAGACUCUUGCUCUAUCUUG